rnacentral:rRNA from 1 species
CGUUCCCAUCCCGAACACGGAAGUUAAGCUCGCUUCUGCCCACGAUACUUGGCUGGAGACGGCCCGGAAAAAUAGGUAGCGCCAACA